CUGAUAAAGCAGCCUCAGUGUGAGAAGCUGGGGUUAGACCAAAGGCUCUCAACAGAAGUAACAACAACGUAAUUGUAUGGGUGGGGGUCACCACAGCAUGAGGAGCUGUGUUAAAGAGGGACAGCAUUAGGAAGGCUGAGAAGUGCUGGGUUGGAGUCUGCAGUCUACUCAGGGAGCAGAAACCUUGAUUUGGCCUUUGGAGAGUGUCCUGGCCUUUGAAUGAAUAUCCAUCAUUCCUGCCUCCACGUUCCUGCCUCUUCUCAAUGGUCGGGAGGCUUUUAAAACCGCUGCUGAAGGAUUGCAUUCUUGGGACACUGGAAAAGCAUGCGCCACCAUCGGAAAGCCUCUUAUGUCUUACAUAGGCUGGUUUACACUGUCCUUCCACUGAUGCAACCAGGGCUCUGCUGAUAGGAACACAAAGCUACAAAAGCCUGUAUUUAAGCAUCUUCUGCUCCUUAACAUUGCUCUUCAUGAAAGAGCCCAAUCUUUAGGCACCUCAUGAAAUGCCAUGACUCUGUAAAUACAGAACUUGUUGUACCUGUAUAUCGUUGGGCACUACUUCUUGUCAUAGUAGGGAAUAAAGGCUACAUAGAAGGUGUUCAAGAUACCAGUCACCUGCCAGGAAUAUAUAUUAAAAGUUUUACCUGAUGGUCAAAAGGAUGGUAAAUCAGAUGAAGGAACACUGCUGGUCAUGAAGAGGACCAAAGUUAGCCCAAGAUAAGCUGGAUCCAAAUCUGCAACUUUCCAACUCCACAACUACAAAGUUUGAAAAUCUGUUACUCGGCCUGGAAAAAUUGCUUCCCCCCCCCCUUUUUUUUUUCUUGAGACAGAGUCUUACUAUUUAGUCCUGACUGUCCUAGAACUCAUGCUGUAGACCAGGCUGUCCUUGAGUUCAAUACAGAGAUCUGCCUAACUCUGCCUCCCAAGUGUUGGAGUUAAAGGUGUGUGCUAUGGCUCCUGUAUCCCUCUCCUUCCCCUGCUGUAGUUUAGAAUUAAAUGAAUGUCUAGGAUUGAGAGUGUAGU
rnacentral:lncRNA from 1 species